rnacentral:rRNA from 1 species
CGUGCCUAAUACAUGCAAGUCGAACGAGGAGCCUCAGCAUUUGUAUUCGUACAUUUGCAGGGGAUCCCUAGUGGCGAACGGGUGAGUAACGCGUUGGUGACCUAGGCCCGAGGAGAAGGGGAUAACUCCGGGAAACUGGAGCUAAUACCCUAUGUGAUCACGAUGAUUAGAAACUCGUGAUUAAAAGGAACUUUGUUUCGCUUUGGGAUGGGCCUGCGUCCCAUCAGCUUGUUGGUAGGGUAAUGGCCUACCAAGGCUUACGGGUAGGGGACCUGAGAGGGUGGCCCCCCACACUGGAACUGAAACACGGUCCAGACACCUACGGGUGGCAGCAGUAGGGAAUAUUGCGCAAUGGACGAAAGUCUGACGCAGCAACGCCGCGUGUGCGAUGAAGGCCUUCGGGUUGUAAAGCACUUUUCUGAGGGAAGAGAAAGGACUGUACCUCAGGAAUAAGUCUCGGCUAACUACGUGCCAGCAGCCGCGGUAACACGUAGGAGGCAAGCGUUAUCCGGAUUUACUGGGCAUAAAGAGCGUGUAGGUGGUUCGGCAAGUCGGAUGUGAAAGCUCCUGGCUCAACUGGGAGAUGUUAUUCGAAACUGCCGGGCUAGAGGACGAUAGAGGAAGAUGGAAUUCCCGGUGUAGUAGUGAAAUGCGUAGAUAUCGGGAGGAACACCAACGGCGAAGGCAGUCUUCUGGGUCGUUCCUGACACUGAGACGCGAAAGCAUGGGUAGCGAACGGGAUUAGAAACCCCGGUAGUCCAUGCCGUAAACGAUGCGAACUAGACGUUGGUAACGUAAAAGUUAUCGGUGUCGCAGCUAAUGCGAUAAGUUCGCCGCCUGGGGAUUACGACCGCAAGGUUAAAACUCAAAGGAAUUGACGGGUUCCCGCACAAGCAGAGGAGCGUGUGGUUUAAUUCGAUGCUACACGAAGAACCUUACCUGGGUUUGACAUAUAGGUGGUAGAGAACCGAAAGGUAAUCGACCCUUCGGGGAGCCUAUACAGGUGCUGCAUGGCUGUCGUCAGCUCGUGCCGUGAGGUGUCCGGUUAAGUCCGGUAACGAGCGCAACCCUUGCCGUAUGUUAUAAGUGUCAUACGGGACUGCCGAUAUAAAAUCGGGGGAAGGAGGGGAUGACGUCAAGUCAGCAUGGCCUUUAUAUCCAGGGCUACACACACGCUGCAAUGGCCGGUACAAUAGGUCGCAAAACCGCGAGGUGGAGCCAAUCCUAAAAGCCGGUCUCAGUUCGGAUUGGAGGCUGCAACCCGCCCCCAUGAAGUCGGAUUUGCUAGUAAACGCGCGUCAGCAAUAGUGCGUUGAUACGUUCCCGGGAUUGUACACACCGCCCGUCACGUCAUGGAAGCUGGCUACACCUGAAGUCGGUAUUCUAACCC